rnacentral:rRNA from 1 species
UACGGAGUGUGCAAGCGUUACUCGGAAUCACUGGGCAUAAAGGGCGCUGUAGGCGGGUUUCCGAAUGAUCCGGUUGUGGAAAUCCCUCAGCUCAACUGAGGAACUGCAUCCGAUACUGUUUGUCUUGAGGACGGGAGGGGAGAGUGGAACUUCUGGUGAAGCGGUGAAAUGCGUAGAUAUCAAGAAGGAACGCCGGUGGCGCAAAGCGACUCUCUGGCCCGUAUCUGACG